ACGCUGGCGGCAGGCUUAACACAUGCAAGUCGAACGGUAACAGGAAUUAGCUUGCUAAUUUGCUGACGAGUGGCGGACGGGUGAGUAAUGCUUGGGAAUCUGGCUUAUGGAGGGGGAUAACUACGGGAAACUGUAGCUAAUACCGCGUAAAAUCUUCGGAUUAAAGGGUGGGACUUUCGAGCCACCUGCCAUAAGAUGAGCCCAAGUGGGAUUAGGUAGUUGGUUAGGUAAAGGCUGACCAAGCCGACGAUCUCUAGCUGGUCUGAGAGGAUGACCAGCCACACUGGAACUGAGACACGGUCCAGACUCCUACGGGAGGCAGCAGUGGGGAAUAUUGCACAAUGGGGGGAACCCUGAUGCAGCCAUGCCGCGUGAAUAAAGAAGGCCUUCGGGUUGUAAAGUUCUUUCGGUGACGAGGAAGGUUGAUAGGUUAAUAGCCUAUCAAAUUGACGUUAAUCACAGAAGAAGCACCGGCUAACUCCGUGCCAGCAGCCGCGGUAAUACGGGGGGUGCGAGCGUUAAUCGGAAUAACUGGGCGUAAAGGGCACGCAGGCGGUGACUUAAGUGAGAUGUGAAAGCCCCGAGCUUAACUUGGGAAUUGCAUUUCAUACUGGGUCGCUAGAGUACUUUAGGGAGGGGUAGAAUUCCACGUGCAGCGGUGAAAUGCGUAGAGAUGUGGAGGAAUACCGAAGGCGAAGGCAGCCCCUUGGGAAUGUACUGACGCUCAUGUGCGAAAGCGUGGGGAGCAAACAGGAUUAGAUACCCUGGUAGUCCACGCUGUAAACGAUGUCGAUUUGGGGAUUGGGCUUUGAGCUUGGUGCCCGUAGCUAACGUGAUAAAUCGACCGCCUGGGGAGUACGGCCGCAAGGUUAAAACUCAAAUGAAUUGACGGGGGCCCGCACAAGCGGUGGAGCAUGU
rnacentral:rRNA from 1 species